rnacentral:misc_RNA from 1 species
GAUGAAGAACGUAGUGAAAUGCGAUAAGUAGUGUGAAUUGCAGAAUUCAGUGAAUCAUCGAAUCUUUGAACGCACAUUGCGCCCUUUGGUAUUCCUUAGGGCAUGCCUGUUCGAGCGUCAUUUAAACCUUCAAGCUCAGCUUGGUGUUGGGUGACUGUCCGCUUCACCGCGGACUCGCCUCAAAAUUAUUGGCGGCCGGUACAUUGGCUUCGAGCGCAGCAGAAACGCGAACUCGGGCCCGUCGUAUUGGCUCCCAGAAGCUAUCUUCACAAUUUUGACCUCGGAUCAGGUAGGGAUACCCGCUGAACUUAAGCAUAUCAAUAAGCAGAGGA